UACGUAGGGUGCGAGCGUUAAUCGGAAUACUGGGCGUAAAGCGUGCGCAGGCGGUGAUGUAAGACCGAUGUGAAAUCCCCGGGCUUAACCUGGGAACUGCAUUGGUGACUGCAUUGCUGGAGUAUGGCAGAGGGGGGUGGAAUUCCACGUGUAGCAGUGAAAUGCGUAGAGAUGUGGAGGAACACCGAUGGCGAAGGCAGCCCCCCUGGGCCAAUACUGACGCCUCAUGCACGAAAGCGUGGGGAGCAACAGG
rnacentral:rRNA from 1 species